AGCGAACGCUGGCGGCAGGCCUAACACAUGCAAGUCGAACGAACUCUUCGGAGUUAGUGGCGGACGGGUGAGUAACACGUGGGAACGUGCCUUUUGGUUCGGAAUAACUCAGGGAAACUUGUGCUAAUACCGAAUGUGCCCUUCGGGGGAAAGAUUUAUCGCCAUUAGAGCGGCCCGCGUCUGAUUAGCUAGUUGGUGAGGUAACGGCUCACCAAGGCGACGAUCAGUAGCUGGUCUGAGAGGAUGACCAGCCACACUGGGACUGAGACACGGCCCAGACUCCGACGGGAGGCAGCAGUGGGGAAUCUUGCGCAAUGGGCGAAAGCCUGACGCAGCCAUGCCGCGUGAAUGAUGAAGGUCUUAGGAUGGUAAAAUUCUUUCACCGGGGACGAUAAUGACGGUACCCGGAGAAGAAGCCCCGGCUAACUUCGU
rnacentral:rRNA from 1 species